rnacentral:rRNA from 1 species
CCUACGGGGGGCUGCAGUGGGGAAUAUUGGACAAUGGGGCGAACCCUGAUCCAGCCAUGCCGCGUGUGUGAAGAAGGCCCUCGGGUUGUAAAGCACUUUCAGUGAGGAAGAACGCCUGGUGGUUAAUACCCAUCAGGAAAGACAUCACUCACAGAAGAAGCACCGGCUAACUCCGUGCCAGCAGCCGCGGUAAUACGGAGGGUGCGAGCGUUAAUCGGAAUUACUGGGCGUAAAGCGCGCGUAGGUGGCUUGAUAAGCCGGUUGUGAAAGCCCCGGGCUCAACCUGGGAACGGCAUCCGGAACUGUCAAGCUAGAGUGCAGGAGAGGAAGGUAGAAUUCCCGGUGUAGCGGUGAAAUGCGUAGAGAUCGGGAGGAAUACCAGUGGCGAAGGCGGCCUUCUGGACUGACACUGACACUGAGGUGCGAAAGCGUGGGUAGCAAACAGGAUUAGAUACCCCUGUAGUC